GUACCACUCGCGCACAACUGCACCAUCAUGCACACACUACAUCCUUCACACACACAAUACAUCCUCCACACCCACUACAUUCUACACACACACACACUACAUCCUUCACAAACGCAAUGCACCCCCGUACACACACUGUACCCAUUACACGCCCACACGCUGCACCCCUCACACACACACACUGCACCCCUUACACACUCACACGCUGCAGC